UGCAGUUUUGGGUGCGGUGUAUA
rnacentral:siRNA from 1 species